ACGAGCCUGGUCGUGGCGUUGCUGGUCGGCUACCGCCCGGUCCGGGCCGGCGCGCUGCUCUCGGCCGCCGGGGUGCUGGUCGCCGCGCUCGUAC
rnacentral:tRNA from 1 species